AAGUAGGAAUGAUAUUAGUCUGUGGAUGUGGAGGUAUGUAGCACAAAGGUGUCCACUUAGUAAAAAGAGGAAUGUCCACCUAAUGGUUCCUUUAAUUAAUUGUUUGUUGAAAUAUUUAUGAAACAAACACACGUACGGAUUUGGGUAAACCCCAGUUGUUUAAAAAGAAAGGAAAUACAUCUUUAAAUUUGCAAUGUAUUAAAUACUCAAGUUGCCUCCACGAAACAGUAAGUCACUUUCCAUGGUUUGCACAAUUCAAUUCGUCGUGGAUUGUGAAUAUUCUUUUGCUGCUUUGGUCGAAUCAGUUUGGCAGUAUUCGUAGGAUUAGUGGCUCUCGUACUUGCCUAAUCACGCCCUGAGAACUAAUGUGUUUUCCUGGUUUUAUGGCUUUGUUUUUGUGAUUGGAGUUUUUCCUUCAGGGCAUCACUUUUGGGGUUCACAUGUGCUGUUGUGAAAAGCUUUCACAGAGCGUCAAUUCCAGAGACAUUUCGACAUGGCACAUGGUUCGGACAAGCCCAUGUUCGUAGCCUUAACCACAUCAAUUCCUGAAAUGACUUCUUCUGCAAGAAAUUUUUCUACUUCGUACGCUCCAACAUGCUGUUUGAUACAUUGUACAGUGAGAACUGACGUGAAUACUGAGGUAGUGAAUUCAUUCAUAUUGUUGAAGUUGUGAAGAGUUUCAUAAUCUGGUGGACUGCCGGAUCCUAGCUCAAGAAUACAACUUCAGAGAUUUGAUUGAGCUUAUGAGCAUGCAAUUGGAUAUUUGGCCAGAUAUGAGCACUUCAAAAGUUGGUUACGAUGUUUGUGGAUGAUAUUGCAAUGAGAGGUUGUCUUCUGCAGAGAGAGAGCUAUGUCGGCAUGGUUCUCGACUUCGGUUAGUAACCCAGUAAAUCUUAGUAUCCUAUUUUCAUAUUUUGUGAGAGCAAAUCCAUAGAAUGUCAACAACCAUCCACCGUUUACUGACAAUACAUUUCGAGGAAUUAUUUUUCAAUGGCCCAAGAUUUCAUGACUCGCACUCUUGGUUGUUGAUUUCAUCCUUCGUUCACGAUUGCAGCGCGUCUAACUCCUUCAGCUACCUGUGAAAAUUACGGGUGUGUGGUCGAGGCUCAGGGAUGCGAAGACAUUUGUACAUUCAUAGCAAGGAACAGUAAGCAGAACCUUCGCCUAUUAUCACAACUUUCACUAUUCCUUACCUCUACUCCAAGUGCGUACGCAAGCAUUGAGAACAAUUAGAGAAGGCGAACAAAGAGUUUCAGAAACGAAACAAGCGUAUGCUGAAUCAUUGUAUAAUUUGACUUCUCAAAGCUCAAUGGUAUGCUUACUUUGCUGUGGCUUGUGGAAUGCAGUUGCCGUAAUGAAAGGAUACACCCAGAGUGGUCAGCUGAAUCACGAACAGUACUUACUAGAAACAGCCUUAAGUGCAUUAUCAGAUACAUGGUUGCCAUAUAUUGCCAAGUUAUGAUAUUUGUAAAUCCGACGCUAAACAGUCGGUUGUUUUGAUGAGGUACUCCGCGGGGGCCCGAGCGAG
rnacentral:lncRNA from 1 species